CUGAGUGGCGGACGGGUGAGUAACGCGUGGGUAACCUGCCUUGUACUGGGGGACAACAGUUAGAAAUGACUGCUAAUACCGCAUAAGCGCACAGUAUCGCAUGAUACAGUGUGAAAAACUCCGGUGGUACAAGAUGGACCCGCGUCUGAUUAGCUAGUUGGUAAGGUAACGGCUUACCAAGGCGACGAUCAGUAGCCGACCUGAGAGGGUGACCGGCCACAUUGGGACUGAGACACGGCCCAAACUCCUACGGGAGGCAGCAGUGGGGAAUAUUGCACAAUGGGCGAAAGCCUGAUGCAGCGACGCCGCGUGAGUGAAGAAGUAUUUCGGUAUGUAAAGCUCUAUCAGCAGGGAAGAAAAUGACGGUACCUGACUAAGAAGCCCCGGCUAACUACGUGCCAGCAGCCGCGGUAAUACGUAGGGGGCAAGCGUUAUCCGGAUUUACUGGGUGUAAAGGGAGCGUAGACGGUAAAGCAAGUCUGAAGUGAAAGCCCGCGGCUCAACUGCGGGACUGCUUUGGAAACUGUUUAACUGGAGUGUCGGAGAGGUAAGUGGAAUUCCUAGUGUAGCGGUGAAAUGCGUAGAUAUUAGGAGGAACA
rnacentral:rRNA from 1 species